AGCAUCCAAGUAGAGAGCACUCUGGAGUCUUCGUUUUAAAUCAAAAUAAAUACUGCUUUAUUGUGCACAAUAAAGCAGUAUUUAUUUUGAUAUAAAACGAAGACUCCAGAGUGCUCUCUACUUGGAUGCUAUAUAUU